UUGGAGGGCAAGUCUGGUGCCAGCAGCCGCGGUAAUUCCAGCUCCAAUAGCGGAUAUUAAAGUUGCUGCAGUUAAAAAGCUCGUAGUUGAAUUUCGGGACUAAUAUGUCGGUCGUACUUUGUACGUACUAGCAUUAUUGGUUUCUCCCUUCUGACGAACCACGAUGUCAUUAAUUUGGUGUCGUGGGAAAUCAGGACUGUUACUUUGAAAAAAUUAGAGUGUUUAAAGCAAGCUCGCGCUUGAAUACAUUAGCAUGGAAUAAUGAAAUAGGACGUUUGAUUCUAUUUUGUUGGUUUCUAGGAUCGACGUAAUGAUUAAUAGGGAUAGUUGGGGGCAUUAGUAUUCAAUUGUCAGAGGUGAAAUUCUUGGAUUUAUUGAAGACUAACCACUGCGAAAGCAUUUGCCAAGGAUGUUUUCAUUAAUCAAGAACGAAAGUUAGGGGAUCGAAGACGAUCAGAUACCGUCGUAGUCUUAACCAUAAACUAUGCCGACUAGGGAUCGGAUGAUGUUAAUUUUUUAAUGACUCAUUCGGCGCCUUACGGGAAAC
rnacentral:rRNA from 1 species